ACUACAACAGCAGCCUUCUAACUCUAUACAAAAGGUACCCUGUUCCCUGGAGAUGGAUUGCUACUGACAAAGUAGCACUCAGACGAUACUCAACGAGGCUGCUGGAUUAUACGGCGAGGACUGCACUUUGGGCUCAGGAGCUGCUUAGGUUUCUCCCAAUAUUUUGCUGGUUCUAGGAUUGGUCUGGUGCCCUUCUUUGGAUGUUUCAAGCCCAGGCUCUUUACCUCUAGCUCUUCAUCACUCAGAAACCCUGUUCAUAAGAACACAGUUGAAUGAAUAACCACCAAAAGAGUUUUAUAUCUAGUUAUUAAGCAUGAUUAGAUAUAUCUCUGGAUGACAUAUGGUCAAUUACCAUUACAGAAUAUCGUUUCUUUCUCCAGGGCUUUUGAAAUUUGAUCUCCAAACUCGAGAUACAAAGCUGCAUAGUCAAGCUCGGCUUCUGGAAUGGAUAAUUCAUCAACAAUUCCAAGAUCAAAGGAGUCGGGCAGCAGGUUGGUCACAUCCACCUCAUCAUCAGCAUCAAAGGUUU
rnacentral:lncRNA from 1 species